UACGGGGGGAGCAAGCGUUGUUCGGAAUUACUGGGCGUAAAGGGCGCGUAGGCGGUUUGGUAAGUGAGAUGUGAAAUCCUCCGGCUCACCCGGAGACAUGCAUCUCAUACUGCUUGACUAGAGUACGGAAGAGGAAUCGGGAAUUCCAGGUGUAGCGGUGAAAUGCGUAGAUAUCUGGAGGAACACCGGUGGCGAAGG
rnacentral:rRNA from 1 species